rnacentral:rRNA from 1 species
UGCGUAGGCGGUUCGUUAAGUCAAAUCUGAAAGCCCCCAGCUUAACUGGGGAGAGUGAUUUGAAACUGGCGAACUUGAGUAUGGCAGAGGUAAGUGGAAUUUCAUGUGUAGCGGUGGAAUGCGUAGAUAUAUGAAGGAACACCAGUGGCGAAGGCGGCUUACUGGACCAGAACUGACGCUGAGGCACGAAAGCGUGGGGAGCAAACAGGAUUAGAUACCCUGGUAGUCC